UAGGGAAUCUUCCACAAUGGGCGAAAGCCUGAUGGAGCAACGCCGCGUGUGUGAUGAAGGCUUUAGGGUCGUAAAGCACUGUUGUAUGGGAAGAAAUGCUAGAAUAGGGAAUGAUUCUAGUUCGACGGUACCAUACCAGAAAGGGACGGCUAAAUACGUGCCAGCAGCCGCGGUAAUACGUAUGUCCCGAGCGUUAUCCGGAUUUAUUGGGCGUAAAGCGAGCGCAGACGGUUGAUUAAGUCUGAUGUGAAAGCCCGGAGCUCAACUCCGGAAUGGCAUCGGAAACUGGUUAACUUGAGUGUUGUAGAGGUAAGUGGAACUCCAUGUGUAGCGGUGGAAUGCGUAGAUAUAUGGAAGAACACCAGUGGCGAAGGCGGCUUACUGGACAACAACUGACGUUGAGGCUCGAAAGUGUGGGUAGCAAACAGGAUUAGAUACCCUGGUAGUCCACACCGUANCGAUGAAUACUAGGUGUUAGGAGGUUUCCGCCUCUUAGUGNCGAAGCUAACGCAUUNANUAUUCCNCCUGGGGAGUACGACCGCAAGGUU
rnacentral:rRNA from 1 species